UGGCUCAGAUUGAACGCUGGCGGCAGGCCUAACACAUGCAAGUCGAACGGUAACAGGAAGCAGCUUGCUGCUUCGCUGACGAGUGGCGGACGGGUGAGUAAUGUCUGGGAAACUGCCUGAUGGAGGGGGAUAACUACUGGAAACGGUGGCUAAUACCGCAUAACGUCGCAAGACCAAAGAGGGGGACCUUCGGGCCUCUUGCCAUCAGAUGUGCCCAGAUGGGAUUAGCUUGUUGGUGAGGUAACGGCUCACCAAGGCGACGAUCCCUAGCUGGUCUGAGAGGAUGACCAGCCACACUGGAACUGAGACACGGUCCAGACUCCUACGGGAGGCAGCAGUGGGGAAUAUUGCACAAUGGGCGCAAGCCUGAUGCAGCCAUGCCGCGUGUAUGAAGAAGGCCUUCGGGUUGUAAAGUACUUUCAGCGGGGAGGAAGGUGUUGUGGUUAAUAACCGCAGCAAUUGACGUUACCCGCAGAAGAAGCACCGGCUAACUCCGUGCCAGCAGCCGCGGUAAUACGGAGGGUGCAAGCGUUAAUCGGAAUUACUGGGCGUAAAGCGCACGCAGGCGGUCUGUCAAGUCGGAUGUGAAAUCCCCGGGCUCAACCUGGGAACUGCAUUCGAAACUGGCAGGCUUGAGUCUUGUAGAGGGGGGUAGAAUUCCAGGUGUAGCGGUGAAAUGCGUAGAGAUCUGGAGGAAUACCGGUGGCGAAGGCGGCCCCCUGGACAAAGACUGACGCUCAGGUGCGAAAGCGUGGGGAGCAAACAGGAUUAGAUACCCUGGUAGUCCACGCCGUAAACGAUGUCUACUUGGAGGUUGUGCCCUUGAGGCGUGGCUUCCGGAGCUAACGCGUUAAGUAGACCGCCUGGGGAGUACGGCCGCAAGGUUAAAACUCAAAUGAAUUGACGGGGGCCCGCACAAGCGGUGGAGCAUGUGGUUUAAUUCGAUGCAACGCGAAGAACCUUACCUGGUCUUGACAUCCACAGAAUUCUGCAGAGAUGCGGAAGUGCCUUCGGGAACUGUGAGACAGGUGCUGCAUGGCUGUCGUCAGCUCGUGUUGUGAAAUGUUGGGUUAAGUCCCGCAACGAGCGCAAC
rnacentral:rRNA from 1 species